AUGGCCGCUGCCGAGCCGACCGGAGGCGGGGGAGGCGACGAGGUCGUGGAGGAGAUUAAAGAAGGAGGAGAGGGGGCCGCGGCCACGGCGGAGGCGCACAACGGCGAGCGCCCCACCGACGACUCCCCCGGCCCGUCGGCGCCGUCGACGUCUUCCGCCUCAGAUAACGGAAACCUCCAUAGAUCAAGCACUAUGCCGGGGGUGAUCAAGGAUACAGAGAUAACUACUGAAACUACCGGUCCAUCAAAUCUGGAAAGGUCAAAAACUGAGAGGCGCAAACAAAAUAAUCCAGCUGAUGAUCCUACUAAACAGUUAUUGGAUGAUAAGAUUUCCAUAAGGAAAAAGCUCAAAAUGUUAAAUCGAAUAGCUACAGUGAAGGAUGAUGGAACUGUGGUUGUUAAUGUACCAAGUACUCUAGAAGCGACUCCAAUUGACGUUGGAGCAGUGGAUGGCUAUGAGGAUGUUGUUGUUGAAGAAUCAUUAGAUGGAUCAGAUAUACCAUACAGACCUCCAAUACAGAUUGUUAUACUUAUCGUGGGUACAAGGGGAGACGUUCAGCCAUUUGUUGCAAUAGGAAAACGCUUACAGGAUUAUGGACACCGUGUGAGAUUAGCCACUCAUGCUAACUAUAAGGAGUUCAUACUCACAGCUGGGCUGGAGUUUUUUCCACUGGGUGGAGAUCCAAAAGUACUUGCUGAAUACAUGGUGAAGAAUAAAGGGUUCCUACCUUCAGGCCCAUCAGAAAUUCCUGUUCAAAGAAAACAAAUGAAAGAAAUUAUAUUUUCCCUACUGCCUGCAUGCAAGGAUCCUGACCCUGAUACCGGUAUUGCUUUCAAAGUGGAUGCAAUUAUUGCGAACCCACCAGCAUAUGGACAUACACAUGUGGCAGAGGCACUAAAAGUACCCAUUCAUAUAUUCUUUACCAUGCCAUGGACGCCAACUAGUGAAUUUCCUCAUCCUCUUUCUCGAGUGAAAACAUCAGCUGGAUAUCGACUUUCUUACCAAAUUGUUGACUCUAUGAUUUGGCUUGGGAUACGUGAUAUGAUAAACGAAUUCAGGAAAAAGAAGUUGAAGCUGCGUCCAGUAACAUACCUAAGUGGUGCACAGGGUUCUGGAAGUGACAUUCCUCAUGGAUACAUCUGGAGCCCUCACCUUGUCCCAAAACCGAAAGACUGGGGCCCCAAGAUCGAUGUUGUUGGAUUUUGCUUUCUCGAUCUUGCGUCUGAUUACGUACCACCUGAAGAACUUGUGAAAUGGCUUGAAGCGGGUGACAAACCCAUUUAUGUUGGUUUUGGUAGCCUUCCAGUUCAAGAUCCAGCAAAGAUGACUGAAACCAUUGUCAAAGCACUCGAAAUGACUGGACAGAGAGGUAUCAUUAACAAGGGUUGGGGUGGUCUCGGAACAUUGGCAGAACCAAAAGAUUCCAUAUAUGUUCUUGACAACUGCCCUCACGACUGGCUUUUCCUGCAGUGUAAGGCAGUGGUACACCAUGGUGGUGCUGGAACGACGGCUGCCGGCCUGAAAGCAGCGUGUCCUACAACUAUUGUACCUUUCUUUGGCGACCAACCAUUCUGGGGUGAGCGGGUGCAUGCUAGAGGGGUAGGGCCUUCGCCUAUACCGGUUGAUCAAUUCACUUUGCAGAAGUUGGUUGAUGCUAUAAAAUUCAUGUUGGAUCCAGAGGUGAAAGAAAAGGCUGUGGAGCUUGCCAAGGCCAUGGAAUCUGAAGACGGCGUAACGGGUGCAGUCAGGGCAUUCCUCAAACACCUGCCCUGUAAAACAGAUGAAAACUCACCCCCACCAACGCACGGCUUUCUAGAGUUCCUAGGCCCAGUAAGUAAAUGUUUGGGGUGCUCUUAG
rnacentral:rRNA from 1 species